AUUGAACGCUGGCGGCAUGCCUUACACAUGCAAGUCGGACGGGAACAGGUCUUCGGAUGCUGACGAGUGGCGAACGGGUGAGUAAUACAUCGGAACGUGCCUAGUAGUGGGGGAUCACUACUCGAAAGAGUGGCUAAUAACGAAUGAGAUCUACGGAUGAAAGCAGGGGAUCGCAAGACCCUGUGCUACGAGAGCGUCCGGUGGAAGAUUAGGUAGUUGGUGGGAUAAAAGCUUACCAAGCCGACGAUCUGUAGCUGGUCUGAGAGGACGAUCAGCCACACUGGGACUGAGACACGGCCCAGACUCCUACGGGAGGCAGCAGUGGGGAAUUGUGGACAAUGGGCGCAAGCCUGAUCCAGCAAUGCCGCGUGCAGGAUGAAGGCCUUCGGGUUGUAAACUGCUUUUGUACGGAACGAAAAGCCCUGGGUUAAUACCCUGGGGUCAUGACGGUACCGUAAGAAUAAGCACCGGCUAACUACGUGCCAGCCGCCGCGUGUAA
rnacentral:rRNA from 1 species